rnacentral:rRNA from 1 species
GGCAUCGGAGUGCGGGUCUUUGGGCCACCUCCCAUCCGUGUCUAUUGUACCCUGUUGCUUCGGCGGGCCCGCCGCUUGUCGGCCGCCGGGGGGGCGCCUCUGCCCCCCGGGCCCGUGCCCGCCGGAGACCCCAACACGAACACUGUCUGAAAGCGUGCAGUCUGAGUUGAUUGAAUGCAAUCAGUUAAAACUUUCAACAAUGGAUCUCUUGGUUCCGGCAUCGAUGAAAAACGCAGCGAAAUGCGAUAACUAAUGUGAAUUGCAGAAUUCAGUGAAUCAUCGAGUCUUUGAACGCACAUUGCGCCCCCUGGUAUUCCGGGGGGCAUGCCUGUCCGAGCGUCAUUGCUGCCCUCAAGCCCGGCUUGUGUGUUGGGUCGCCGUCCCCCUCUCCGGGGGGACGGGCCCGAAAGGCAGCGGCGGCACCGCGUCCGAUCCUCGAGCGUAUGGGGCUUUGUCACAUGCUCUGUAGGAUUGGCCGGCGCCUGCCGACGUUUUCCAACCAUUCUUUCCAGGUUGACCUCGGAUCAGGUAGGGAUACCCGCUGAACUUAAGCAUAUAAAA